GACGAACGCUGGCGGCGUGCUUAACACAUGCAAGUCGAACGGAAAGGCCCCUUUGGGGGUACUCGAGUGGCGAACGGGUGAGUAACACGUGAGUAACCUGCCCUUGACUUCGUGAUAACUUCAGGAAACUGGGGCUAAUACCGGAUAGGAAUCCUUGCUGCAUGGUGGGGGUUGGAAAGCUUCGGCGGUUUUGGAUGGACUCGCGGCUUAUCAGCUUGUUGGUGGGGUAGUGGCUUACCAAGGCUUUGACGGGUAGCCGGCCUGAGAGGGCGACCGGCCACAUUGGGACUGAGAUACGGCCCAGACGCCUACGGGAGGCAGCAGUGGGGAAGAUUGCACAAUGGGCGGAAGCCUGAUGCAGCAACGCCGCGUGCGGGAGGACGGCCUUCGGGCUGUAAACCGCUUUCAGCAGGGGCGAAGCUUGUGGUGACGGUACCUGCAGAAGAAGCACCGGCUAACUACGUG
rnacentral:rRNA from 1 species